ACGGUAACAGGAAGCAGCUUGCUGCUUCGCUGACGAGUGGCGGACGGGUGAGUAAUGUCUGGGAAACUGCCUGAUGGAGGGGGAUAACUACUGGAAACGGUAGCUAAUACCGCAUAACGUCGCAAGACCAAAGAGGGGGACCUUCGGGCCUCUUGCCAUCGGAUGUGCCCAGAUGGGAUUAGCUAGUAGGUGGGGUAACGGCUCACCUAGGCGACGAUCCCUAGCUGGUCUGAGAGGAUGACCAGCCACACUGGAACUGAGACACGGUCCAGACUCCUACGGGAGGCAGCAGUGGGGAAUAUUGCACAAUGGGCGCAAGCCUGAUGCAGCCAUGCCGCGUGUAUGAAGAAGGCCUUCGGGUUGUAAAGUACU
rnacentral:rRNA from 1 species